GACGAACGCUGGCGGCGCGCCUAACACAUGCAAGUCGAACGGAGUUGUUAUGACAGAAUCUUCGGAUGAUGGAUUGACAACUUAGUGGCGAACGGGUGAGUAACGCGUGAGCAAUCUGCCUUAAAGAGGGGGACAACAGUUGGAAACGACUGCUAAUACCGCAUGAGCCCACACUACCGCAUGGUAGAGUGAGAAAAGAUUUUAUCGCUUUAAGAUGAGCUCGCGUCUGAUUAGCUAGUUGGUGGGGUAACGGCCUACCAAGGCAACGAUCAGUAGCCGGACUGAGAGGUUGAUCGGCCACAUUGGGACUGAGACACGGCCCAGACUCCUACGGGAGGCAGCAGUGGGGAAUAUUGCACAAUGGGGGAAACCCUGAUGCAGCGACGCCGCGUGAGGGAAGAAGGUAUUCGUAUUGUAAACCUCUGUCUUCGGGGACGAUAAUGACGGUACCCGAGGAGGAAGCACCGGCUAACUACGUGCCAGCCGCCGCCGUAAUAC
rnacentral:rRNA from 1 species